CAACCCUCAAGCCCCCGGGCUUGGUGUUGGGGAUCGGCGUGCCCUCGCGGCGCGCCGUCCCCUAAAUCUAGUGGCGGUCUCGCUGUAGCUUCCUCUGCGUAGUAGCAACACUCGCACUGGAUCGCAGCGCGGCCACGCCGUUAAACCCCCCACUUCUGAAA
rnacentral:misc_RNA from 2 species